rnacentral:rRNA from 1 species
UACGAAGGGUGCAAGCGUUACUCGGAAUUACUGGGCGUAAAGCGUGCGUAGGUGGUGAGUUAAGACUGUCGUGAAAGCCCCGGGCUCAACCUGGGAAUGGCGAUGGAUACUGGCUCGCUAGAGUGCGGUAGAGGAGAGUGGAAUUCCCGGUGUAGCAGUGAAAUGCGUAGAGAUCGGGAGGAACAUCAGUUGCGAAGGCGGCUCUCUGGACCAGCACUGACACUGAGGCACGAAAGCGUGGGGAGCAAACAGG